GCUUAGAGUUUGAUCCUGGCUCAGAUUGAACGCUGGCGGCACGCUUAACACAUGCAAGUCGAACGGCAGCGCGUAUUUACUUCGGUAGAUAUGGCGGCGAGUGGCGGACGGGUGAGUAAUGCGUAGGAAUCUGCCUUAUAGUGGGGGAUAACCCGGGGAAACUCGGGCUAAUACCGCGUAAAAUCUACGGAUUAAAGCAUGGGACCUUCGGGCCAUGCGCUAUAAGAUGAGCCUACGUCGGAUUAGCUAGUUGGUGGGGUAAAGGCCUACCAAGGCGAUGAUCCGUAGCUGGUCUGAGAGGACGAACAGCCACACUGGGACUGAGACACGGCCCAGACUCCUACGGGAGGCAGCAGUGGGGAAUAUUGGACAAUGGGGGGAACCCUGAUCCAGCGAUGCCGCGUGUGUGAAGAAGGCCUGCGGGUUGUAAAGCACUUUCAGUGGUGAGGAAACGGCUUGUGUUAAUAGCACAAGCACUUGACGUUAACCACAGAAGAAGCACCGGCUAACUCUGUGCCAGCAGCCGCGGUAAGACAGAGGGUGCGAGCGUUAAUCGGAAUUACUGGGCGUAAAGGGCACGUAGGCGGUUCUGUAAGUCAGAUGUGAAAUCCCUGGGCUUAACCUAGGCAUUGCAUAUGAAACUGCGGAACUAGAGUAUGGUAGAGGGAAGUGGAAUUUCCGGUGUAGCAGUGAAAUGCACAGAUAUCGGAAGGAACAUCAGUGGCGAAGGCGACUUUCUGGACCAUACUGACGCUGAGGUGCGAAAGCGUGGGGAGCGAACAGGAUUAGAUACCCUGGUAGUCCACGCCGUAAACGAUGAGAACUAGCCGUUGGGCACGU
rnacentral:rRNA from 1 species